AUGAAGUAAAACAAACACAAUAAAAACAACGCAUCAUACAACCAUUUCGUCCUUUUACGUUUCAUCGUCAAUGUUAGGGGGCAAUCAGGUGGAAAUCAAAAUUAGUCUAAACCACUAUUGCAUAAGGUAGGAAGGUUCGUAACCACUCCAUUAUAUAUAUAACUUUUCAAAUAGGACAGGAGAACUGUUUAAUAUCAAAUUAUUGAUGAGAUAUGUGUGUGAAUUGUGAACCGUGUCACUACCCAAAAGAGGUAAAUAUAUAUAUAACUAUUCAAGUAUUACAGGAGAACUGUUUAAUAUCAAACUAUUGAUGAGAUAUGCGUGUGAAUUGUGAACCGUGUCACUACCCAAAAGAGGUAAUUACAUAACUAUUCAAAUAUGAAAGGUGAACUGCUUAAUAUCAAACUAUUGAUGAGAUAUGCGUGUGAAUUGUGAACCGUGUCACUACCCAAAAGAGGUAAAUAUAUAACUAUUCAAAUAUGACAGGUGAACUGCUUAAUAUCAAACUAUUGAUGAGAUAUGUGUGUGAAUUGUGAACCGUGUCACUACCCAAAAGAGGUAAUUAUAUAUAUAACUAUUCAAGUAUUACAGGAGAACUGUUUAAUAUCAAAUUAUUGAUUAGAUAUGUGUGUGAAUUGUGAACCGUGUCACUACCCAAAAGAGGUAAUUAUAGAACUAUUCAAAUAUGACAGGUGAACUGUUUAAUAUCAAAUUACUGAUGAGCUAUGUGUGUGAAUUGUGAACCGUGUCACUACCCAAAAGAGGUAACUGUGGCAAUCAAAGUUACGGCUAAACGAAUGACCUUUAUUGUUUCUAUCAUGGUCAUGAUACAGCCGAGCUACAGGUACAUAGUGUUCACAGACGUCACUAUCUGUCUAUCACGGCCAAGCUACAGGUACAUAGUGUUCACAGACGUCACUAUCUGUCUAUCACGGCCAAGCUACAGGUACAUAGUGUUCACAGACGUCACUAUCUGUCUAUCACGGCCAAGCUACAGGUACAUAGUGUUCACAGACGUCACUAUCUGUCUAUCACGGCCAAGCUACAGGUACAUAGUGUUCACAGACGUCACUAUCUGUCUAUCACGGCCAAGCUACAGGUACAUAGUGUUCACAGACGUCACUAUCUGUCUAUCACGGCCAAGCUACAGGUACAUAGUGUUCACAGACGUCACUAUCUGUCUAUCACGGCCAAGCUACAGGUACAUAGUGUUCACAGACGUCACUAUCUGUCUAUCACGGCCAAGCUACAGGUACAUAGUGUUCACAGACGUCACUAUCUGUCUAUCACGGCCAAGCUACAGGUACAUAGUGUUCACAGACGUCACUAUCUGUCUAUCACGGCCAAGCUACAGGUACAUAGUGUUCACAGACGUCACUAUCUGUCUAUCACGGCCAAGCUACAGGUACAUAGUGUUCACAGACGUCACUAUCUGUCUAUCACGGCCAAGCUACAGGUACAUAGUGUUCACAGACGUCACUAUCUGUCUAUCACGGCCAAGCUACAGGUACAUAGUGUUCACAGACGUCACUAUCUGUCUAUCACGGCCAAGCUACAGGUACAUAGUGUUCACAGACGUCACUAUCUGUCUAUCACGGCCAAGCUACAGGUACAUAGUGUUCACAGACGUCACUAUCUGUCUAUCACGGCCAAGCUACAGGUACAUAGUGUUCACAGACGUCACUAUCUGUCUAUCACGGCCAAGCUACAGGUACAUAGUGUUCACAGACGUCACUAUCUGUCUAUCACGGCCAAGCUACAGGUACAUAGUGUUCACAGACGUCACUAUCUGUCUAUCACGGCCAAGCUACAGGUACAUAGUGUUCACAGACGUCACUAUCUGUCUAUCACGGCCAAGCUACAGGUACAUAGUGUUCACAGACGUCACUAUCUGUCUAUCACGGCCAAGCUACAGGUACAUAGUGUUCACAGACGUCACUAUCUGUCUAUCACGGCCAAGCUACAGGUACAUAGUGUUCACAGACGUCACUAUCUGUCUAUCACGGCCAAGCUACAGGUACAUAGUGUUCACAGACGUCACUAUCUGUCUAUCACGGCCAAGCUACAGGUACAUAGUGUUCACAGACGUCACUAUCUGUCUAUCACGGCCAAGCUACAGGUACAUAGUGUUCACAGACGUCACUAUCUGUCUAUCACGGCCAAGCUACAGGUACAUAGUGUUCACAGACGUCACUAUCUGUCUAUCACGGCCAAGCUACAGGUACAUAGUGUUCACAGACGUCACUAUCUGUCUAUCACGGCCAAGCUACAGGUACAUAGUGUUCACAGACGUCACUAUCUGUCUAUCACGGCCAAGCUACAGGUACAUAGUGUUCACAGACGUCACUAUCUGUCUAUCACGGCCAAGCUACAGGUACAUAGUGUUCACAGACGUCACUAUCUGUCUAUCACGGCCAAGCUACAGGUACAUAGUGUUCACAGACGUCACUAUCUGUCUAUCACGGCCAAGCUACAGGUACAUAGUGUUCACAGACGUCACUAUCUGUCUAUCACGGCCAAGCUACAGGUACAUAGUGUUCACAGACGUCACUAUCUGUCUAUCACGGCCAAGCUACAGGUACAUAGUGUUCACAGACGUCACUAUCUGUCUAUCACGGCCAAGCUACAGGUACAUAGUGUUCACAGACGUCACUAUCUGUCUAUCACGGCCAAGCUACAGGUACAUAGUGUUCACAGACGUCACUAUCUGUCUAUCACGGCCAAGCUACAGGUACAUAGUGUUCACAGACGUCACUAUCUGUCUAUCACGGCCAAGCUACAGGUACAUAGUGUUCACAGACGUCACUAUCUGUCUAUCACGGCCAAGCUACAGGUACAUAGUGUUCACAGACGUCACUAUCUGUCUAUCACGGCCAAGCUACAGGUACAUAGUGUUCACAGACGUCACUAUCUGUCUAUCACGGCCAAGCUACAGGUACAUAGUGUUCACAGACGUCACUAUCUGUCUAUCACGGCCAACGCGGAGUACUCUAAUUGACAGGUUGCAAGUAUAAACUCACAAGGAAAACACACACUUGUGUGACAAAUGGAGGGGGAAUUGAACUGCUCCGGAUACCAAGCUUGAUGUAGAGUUCUGUCCAAGUUUACCGGUAUAUAUUUUACUUUUGUGUUGGUGGAAAAUCCGAACCAAACAUAUCGUUGGAUUGCAGAGUGAUUAGGAACAUAAUAGGCUGUAAAAGGAAUUUGUCCAUUUUCAUCUGGAAAGGUUAAGCAGUGGGCAUCUUACCUGGUCAUCCCUAGGAUAUAUCGCUGACUUUUUAGAAAUCAUAUCACCACAGAUGGAUGUUUGGACCGCCUCGUUCGCCGCUAUAGCAGCAUUAUUGUACUUAUGGUAUCAUAAACGUAAUAUUCGAAGUCUGGAGGAAAGCGGUAUACCAAUGAUACCGUCCCUACCCAUCAUCGGCAGUAUCCACAAGCUCAUCGGGAAGCUGGACGUCUUAUGCAGACACUUUCCGUAAAAACAUCUUACAGAAUAGCUAAACCGCUGGCACAAAAUAUGUUAUUGGUUGAAGAGCUUUCCUGACCCAAAAAAAGGCCUAAGGACCUAUUUACAUGUCUGUCUUAAAAAGCGAAAAACAAACUUUAUUGCAAUUUUCCGAAGAAAUGAUGGGACUAAUACAAUCGGAGGGAGCUUGGCUGAAAGAAUACGGUAACGUGAUAGGGUGGUACAAUGGUUAUGUCUUAAACGUCGUCACAGCAGACAGAGACAUGAUCAACGAAAUAUUGGUGAAAAAAUUUAAUAUCUUCUCUAACAGAUGGGUAAGUAUUCAAAACGGCAAUUUUUCUCAGACACGUAGCUCAUAUUUAAUAUCUUCUCUAACAGAUGGGUAAGUAUACAUAACGGCAAUGUUUCUCAGACACGUAGCUCAUAUUUAUUAUCUUCUCUAACAGAUGGGUAAGUAUUCAUAACGGCAAUGUUUCUCAGACACCUAGCUC